AUCGAACGCUGGCGGCAUGCUUUACACAUGCAAGUCGAACGGCAGCGCGGGCUUCGGCCUGGCGGCGAGUGGCGAACGGGUGAGUAAUGCGUCGGAACGUGCCGCGCAGUGGGGGAUAGCCCGGCGAAAGCCGGAUUAAUACCGCAUACGACCUGCGGGUGACACCGGGGGGCCGUAAGGCCUCUCGCUAUUGAAGCGGCCGAUGUCGGCUUAGCUAGUUGGUGGGGUAAAGGUUUACCAAGGCGACGAUCAGUAGCUGGUGUGAGAGGACGACCAGCGACACUGGGACUGAGACACGGCCCAGACUCCUACGGGAGGCAGCAGUGGGGAAUGUUGGACAAUGGGGGCAACCCUGAUCCAGCCAUGCCGCGUGCGGGAAGAAGGCCCUCGGGUUGUAAACCGGUUUUGUGCGGGAAGAAAUCCUCUGGGCUAAUACGCCGGGGGGAUGACGGUACCGGAAGAAUAAGCACCGGCUAACUACGUG
rnacentral:rRNA from 1 species